GCAGGGGGAACUACCCAUAGACUAACAUCUCUUUGGCAUUUCUCUCUUUCUUGAAAAGCCAAAACAAGCCUGUUCAUUCCUUCCCUCCCGAGUACAUACCCAUUUAGUAGAUCUUUUUUUUUCCUUUUUUCAAAUUUCCCAAAGUGUUUCCCAAGAACACUUGCUCAGAAUUACCCAGGGUGCUUGUCAAAGAUUCUAGGCCCCAAAGUCUACCUACAGAAUCAGCAUCUGCCAGCUGGGCAUAGGCAUUGGCAUCUACAGUUGACUAGCAGCCUGGGAGAUUCUGAUGGAGGCCCAAGUUUAAAAGCCAGUAAACUCCUGAGCCCAUCCUAUUUCCACCUAGCAGCAAGAUGCAAGUCGGGGCCCCAUGUCUGACACUUAGCAAUUGAUCGUCACGUCCUUGGGCAACUCAAUUCAUCAGCUCUUGGGUGCCUGUGGUCAUUGGCUUUAGAAGUGUCAGGUGCAGAAAAGGAUGGCUGGAGACUUGCCUUGUCCUCUGCACAAAAUGACCCAAAACAGUACAUUGUCGUUUGCAGAUCGCCAGGUCCAGAAGGACUCUAAGCAAGCAGUUUCUAAGCCUGAGAACAAAGCUGUGGAGUCAGACUUACUCGGCUUAGAAAUCGGCUUCUGCCACCACUUACCAAGCAGAACACCUUUGGACACACGCAGCCCCUCUCUGUGCCUCAGCUUCCUCAACUGUAAAAGUAAGAUCAUAAUAGAACCGUCCUCCUGGGAGGACAACAUGGGAUUAUGUGCAUACAUACAAGCACAUGUACACACAUGAAUGCCACACAGGACCUCAGAGAGUGGCCGGCCCACAUGAACUGCUAGUCACCGCUAUUUGUUGUCAGAGACUUACUGGAUACUAUAUGCAUACUCACGAGUCCUCACCACCUCCUGUCUGCUUCUUAGGAGGAGAUGACUUGUUACAGCUGCCACAAUGAACCGAUACAGAGAGGAAGAGGAUGAGGGAGAGUCGAGAAGGAUUCCCAGUGUCACUGCCUGGAUGUCCCAGAGGCUGAUGAUAUGGUUUGUUGAGCUGGAGAAUGAUGGAGAAGCCAUGUGGCCUAUUUGCAAAGAGCAGGACCCUGACUGGGGACACAGGACAGAUAACUGUGGCUCCUCUGGCCCACAGUUGGGCCCUGUGGAUCUGCUGACACACUGAGUGCAGAGGACAUCAGACCCGGACACGAGCUGCCCUGCCCAUCACACAAAUGAGCCUGAGGCCGUCCAGCCAACAAUGCUGAUGAAUUUCCAUCAGCCUUCAGGCAUCAUUUUCUCAUAAUUACAGCAGGGUCCACUGAGAACACGGAGCUGGCAUGCCCCUAGAACAAGGCGAAUCCCUCUCUGAGGAUCCACGUAAGCAGAAGGGAAUUUUUUUUCCUGAGAAUUAGAGGAAAAAUAAAAUCUGAUUUAAUUCUUGGGAAAUUGCCUUUUUACCCACCUGUGUAAGCCUGUAUUUAAAUUGCUAAUAUGUUUGGCCUGCUGGGAUAACACAUUUAUUAUUUUUUUUUCCCGAGCAACAACAACAACAACAAAAUCAUUUAUUUACGAGAAUUCUAGAAUCCCCGCCCUUUCUCCUGAGUUCCUUACUUUCAUUUCCACCUACCAGCUAGAUGUGUCUCUCCCCAAGACAUGUGAAAUCUGAAAUCAUCUCCCUCUCCAGACCUGAUCUUUUUAUUUAUACCUUUCCUGGUUCUGUUUCUAGAACUAUUGAUGGCUUUGAUCCCCUCCUGUUCCCCAGACUUUCCUCUAAUCAGUCACCAGUCCCAUUGAUUCAAACUCUUGGGGCAAAUCACCAAAUCUGACUGAGCCUCUACUUCCUCAUCUGUAAAAUGGGUGUAAUGAAUAAUAUUGACCCCAGGUGCUUGUUGUAAGACCCAGAUAAUCCAAAUAUGACACCUAGCACGGCGUCUGGUAACAGACUAGCAAAUCAUGAUGAUUAUUUUUAUAGUGGCCAUGACCCCCAUGGAACCUGCCCUCUUCAUCUUAAUGGUUAUUCUAUCAUGAACUGUUCAGCGAGCUCUGAGAGGACUCUCUCCCGCUGAUUAGAAAAUACAGACUGGUCACCAUUUGCUUCAGAUAUUUGCAUGCUCUGAAAUCCUUUACCUUAUACAUUUGCUUGCUUGUUUAUAGUCUGAGCGCCCCUAUCCCACUCCACCCCUAAAAUGCAAUUUCCACAGGGGAAGGGAUGUUGUCUCAUUUACUGGUGUGCCCUCAAUACAUGGCACAAGGUGGGAUUCUACAAUUUUGGAAGGAAGACAGCUAGAUUGCUUACUGAGUUGCUGACCUUCAGCUUCAAGGGCUCCCUUCUCGGUCCUGCUCCAUGAUGCUUGGUUGGGACUCUGCAAGCCACAUUUCUGCUUUGCCAGCAGCCCCAAGGUAGGCUCUGCCAGCAGGGGGACAAGGAGGCUGCAGGCUGGAGGAGAGGGCCAUGUUCCUUCCAGGAGACUUCCUGUUCCCGCCCUGUGUCCCCAGUGCAGCUAGCAGUGGCAUCAGGUUCCGGUGGCAGCAACUGGUUCAUUUCUGACACAUAUCUUCUGAACUCCCAGAAUCGACCUCAUAGUUCCGCUUCAGACACACCAGCACCAGCCAGCCAGCCCCCCAUCCUCGGAAGAACGGGUCUGUGCCUCAUGGAGCUCCUCCUCCAGGCUUCUAGGUUCAGGGAUCCCAGUUCUUUGUCCCCUUCCCCUGUCCAGGGAGAAAGCUGGCAGCUGCUUCCUAUAGUUACCACCUCUGUGAUUCCUCAGUGUCCCCUUCUGCCUUAUCAGUCCCCCAAUACCCAUAUAACAUUCUUGCUCUCCAAAUAGCUCGUGUGGCUGUGUCUCCUGGCUGCCGUGUGACUGAAUCUCUGCCGACCCAUGCCCCUCACCACCCGGCCGCCCACCCCCACAGCCAUGGCUGUCAACAAGAUUCCUCCCAGGACGUUUGUCUCAACUCACUCCAUGCUUCCAGGAACAGGGAGUUUAUGAUUAUAAUAGCUGCUUGUUUCUUUCAAAU